AAUCUUGGACAAUGGUCGCAAGCCUGAUCCAGCCAUGCCGCGUGAGUGAAGAAGGCCUUCUGGUUGUAAAGCUCUUUCGGACGGAAAGAAAUCGCGCAGGAUAAUACGCUGCCCGGAUCACGGCACCGUCAUAAUAAGCAUCGGCUAACAACGUGCCAGCAGCCGCGGUAAUACGUAGGGUGCGAGCGUUAAUCGGAAUUACUGUGCGUAAAGCGUGCGCAGGAGGUUGAUUAAGACAGGCGUGAAAUCCCCGGGCUUAACCCGGGAACUGCGCUUGUGACUGGUCAGCUAGAGUACGGCAGAGGGGGGUGGAAUUCCACGUGUAGCAGUGAAAUGCGUAGAGAUGUGGAGGAACACCGAUGGCGAAGGCAGCCCCCUGGGCCGAUACUGACGCUCAUGCACGAAAGCGUGGGUAGCAAACAGG
rnacentral:rRNA from 1 species